rnacentral:snRNA from 1 species
GUACACUGUUCCGGUUCAGUUAAA